GACGAACGCUGGCGGCGUGCUUAACACAUGCAAGUCGAACGGAAAGGCCCUUCGGGGUACUCGAGUGGCGAACGGGUGAGUAACACGUGGGUGAUCUGCCCUGCACUUUGGGAUAAGCCUGGGAAACUGGGUCUAAUACCGGAUAGGACCACGGCAUUCAUGUGCUGUGGUGUAAAGCUUUUGCGGUGUGGGAUGGGCCCGCGGCCUAUCAGCUUGUUGGUGGGGUAAUGGCCUACCAAGGCGACGACGGGUAGCCGGCCUGAGAGGGUGACCGGCCACACUGGGACUGAGAUACGGCCCAGACUCCUACGGGAGGCAGCAGUGGGGAAUAUUGCACAAUGGGCGCAAGCCUGAUGCAGCGACGCCGCGUGAGGGAUGACGGCCUUCGGGUUGUAAACCUCUUUCGCCAGGGACGAAGCGCAAGUGACGGUACCUGGAGAAGAAGGACCGGCCAACUACGUG
rnacentral:rRNA from 1 species